rnacentral:rRNA from 1 species
UACGAAGGGGGCUAGCGUUGCUCGGAAUCACUGGGCGUAAAGCGCACGUAGGCGGAUUGCUAAGUCAGGGGUGAAAUCCUGGAGCUCAACUCCAGAACUGCCUUUGAUACUGGCGACCUUGAGUCCGGGAGAGGUGAGUGGAACUGCGAGUGUAGAGGUGAAAUUCGUAGAUAUUCGCAAGAACACCAGUGGCGAAGGCGGCUCACUGGCCCGGUACUGACGCUGAGGUGCGAAAGCGCGGGGAGCGAACGGGAUUAGAAACCUUGUA